ensembl:snRNA U6 U6 spliceosomal RNA
GUGCUUGCCUCAGCAACUCAUGCACUAAAAUUAAAAUGAUACAAAGAGGACUAGCAUGGCCUUGUGCAAGAAUGACACACAAAUUCAUGAAGCAUUCCAUACAAGA